UGCCAGCCGCCGCGGUAAUACGUAGGGUGCAAGCAUUAAUCGGAUUUAUUGGGCGUAAAGAGCGCGUAGGCGGGAAGAUAAGUCGGAUGUGAAAGACCAAAGCUCACCUUUGGGAACGCACCCGAAACUGUUUUUCUUGAGGAUGGACGGAGAAAGCGGAAUUCCACAUGUAGCGGUGAAAUGCGUAGAUAUGUGGAAGAACACCCGUGGCGAAAGCGGCUUUCUAGUUUAUUCCUGACGCUGAGGCGCGAAAGCAGGGGGAGCAAACAGGAUUAGAUA
rnacentral:rRNA from 1 species